rnacentral:rRNA from 1 species
UACGUAGGUGGCGAGCGUUAUCCGGAAUUAUUGGGCGUAAAGCGCGCGCAGGCGGUUCCUUAAGUCUGAUGUGAAAGCCCACGGCUCAACCGUGGAGGGUCAUUGGAAACUGGGGAACUUGAGUGCAGAAGAGAAGAGCGGAAUUCCACGCGUAGCGGUGAAAUGCGUAGAGAUGUGGAGGAACACCAGUGGCGAAGGCGGCUCACUGGCCCGGUACUGACGCUGAGGUGCGAAAGCGUGGGGAGCAAACAGG